rnacentral:rRNA from 1 species
GCGAGUGAAGCGGCAAAAGCUCCACUUUGAAAGCGUUUCGGCGCGUUGUAGUGUGGUGCAGUCUUUGAACGGCGAAUAACUAAGUCCCUUGGAACAGGGUGCCAUAGAGGGUGAGAGCCCCGUGAGUUAUUUUUUUAAAGUUCUUUAAGUCUGUACUAAAGAGUCGAGUUGUUUGGGAAUGCAGCUCUAAGUGGGUGGUAAAUUCCAUCUAAGGCUAAAUACCGGCGAGAGACCGAUAGCGAACAAGUACAGUGAUGGAAAGAUGAAAAGCACUUUGAAAAGAGAGUGAAACAGUACGUGAAAUUGUUGAAAGGGAAGGGUAUUUGGCCCGACAUGGGUCCUGUGCACCGUUGCCUCUUGUGGGCGGCGCUCUGCUGGGGCCUGGGCCAGCAUCAUUUUUCUGGCGGGGAUAAGGUUGCGUGAACCACCUAGUGGGGAUCGUGGCGAUGCCCGCACGGGGGAAUGAGGACUGCCGCUGUAGGAUGCUGGCACAACGGCCAAAUACCGCCC